GGACGCCUAGCUCAGUUGGUUAGAGCACCUGCUUCACACGCAGGGGGUCACUGGUUCGAGUCCAGUGGCGUCCACCA
rnacentral:tRNA from 2 species